GAUGAACGCUGGCGGCGUGCCUAAUACAUGCAAGUCGAGCGAAUGGAUUAAGAGCUUGCUCUUAUGAAGUUAGCGGCGGACGGGUGAGUAACACGUGGUAACCUGCCCAUAAGACUGGGAUAACUCCGGGAAACCGGGGCUAAUACCGGAUAACAUUUUGAACCGCAUGGUUCGAAAUUGAAAGGCGGCUUCGGCUGUCACUUAUGGAUGGACCCGCGUCGCAUUAGCUAGUUGGUGGGGUAACGGCUCACCAAGGCAACGAUCGGUAGCCGGCCUGAGAGGGCGGACGGCCACACUGGGACUGAGACACGGCCCAGACUCCUACGGGAGGCAGCAGUGGGGAAUUGUUCGCAAUGGGCGCAAGCCUGACGACGCAACGCCGCGUGGAGGAUGAAGAUCUUCGGGUCGUAAACUCCUUUCGAUCGAGACGAAUUCCUUGGCGAUGAACAAUCGCCGAGGUUGACGGUACCGAGAGAAGAAGCCCCGGCUAACUCCGUGCCAGCCGCCGCAGUAA
rnacentral:rRNA from 1 species